rnacentral:rRNA from 1 species
UACGGAGGAGGCAAGCGUUAUCCGGAAUGAUUGGGCGUAAAGCGUCCGCAGGUGGCAGUUCAAGUCUGCUGUCAAAGACCGGGGCUUAACUUCGGAAAGGCAGUGGAAACUGAACAGCUAGAGUAUGGUAGGGGCAGAGGGAAUUCCUGGUGUAGCGGUGAAAUGCGUAGAGAUCGGAAAGAACACCAACGGCGAAAGCACUCUGCUGGGCCGACACUGACACUGAGAGACGAAAGCUAGGGGAGCGAAUGGG